rnacentral:lncRNA from 1 species
UCCAUUGAUCGAUACCACUACCACGGUCCUUUGUAACUUUGCUUAACUGUCGCUUGUCAUUUCCGGCCUGAUAUAUAGCGUCUGAAUUUGGUGUGUUGUUUUUCAGCCUGGCAGCGCUGUGCUGCUGCUGGAUCUGCGAGAUGUGCUGCGACUAACCCGGCGUGGUCGCUGCUGGCAAAAGACGUUGCUGCUAGUGCCUAUGAAGAACAUACACAUACAGAGAGUCGAUGCUUAAUUACAGUGUCUGUCUGUUUGUUUGUUGUUUUAGGUUCUGCGUAAAUAACCGAGAACCCGUGCUGCGUGUGUGAUGCCCAUGUACCAUGCGUCACACCUAUAAUCAAUUUUAAGGCACCAAAUUAUCGGGCUACUCUUGAAGAUCCUCUAGUUAAAGAUAACGUCUGCUGUGCAAAAAUGAAAGCUUUCAUUUGUAGAGGGAGAAGUCGUGCAGGCGUAAUCAGUCAGUCACUUGUCCAGAGUUUUUUUUUUUUUUGAGAAAUAUAGUGCUAUCGAGUCAGGUCCGUCUCUAAUUGCUCGGUAAUCGGGUUCUGCGCAUCGUAAAGAUGCAGAUCGAGUGGGGUUAUCCUCCUCCCAAAAGGGGUUAUCUCUGAUUGCUCGUUUGGCAGCAAGAGAGAGCAUGUGUAGACAGCCCGAACUAAAUUUGUAAUUCUUCCCGGAAUUUUGCCAUAAAUAAAUGGGAACGGCUUUGUCCCGCUUCAUGCGAGACCAAAGGUGGUCUCACCGUAAG